GACGAACCGUGCGAACGUUGUUCGGAUUCACUGGGCUUAAAGGGCGCGUAGGCGGGCCGUCAAGUCGGGGGUGAAAUCUUUCAGCUCAACUGGAAAAGAGCCUUCGAUACUGACGGCCUCGAGGGAGGUAGGGGCGUGCGGAACUUCCGGUGGAGCGGUGAAAUGCGUAGAGAUCGGAAGGAACGCCGGUGGCGAAAGCGGCGCGCUGGACCUCUUCGUGACGCUGAGGCGCGAAAGCCAGGGGAGCAAAGCGGG
rnacentral:rRNA from 1 species